rnacentral:rRNA from 1 species
UGGGGUUUUCCCCCCCUUAGUGUUCAGAUAACCAUUAAGCACUCCGCCGGGGAGUACGUUCGCAAGAUGAAAUUCAAAGGAAUUGCGGGGCCCGCACAAGCGGUGGAGCAUGUGUUUAAUUUGAAGCAACGCGAAGAACCUUACCAGGUCUUGACAUCUUCUGACAACCCUAGAGAUAGGGCUUUCCCUUCGGGGACAGAGUGACAGGUGGUGCAUGGUUGUCGUCAGCUCGUGUCGUGAGAUGUUGGGUUAAGUCCCGCAACGAGCGCAACCCUUGAUCUUAGUUGCCAGCAUUCAGUUGGGCACUCUAAGGUGACUGCCGGUGACAAACCGGAGGAAGGUGGGGAUGACGUCAAAUCAUCAUGCCCCUUAUGACCUGGGCUACACACGUGCUACAAUGGACAGAACAAAGGGCUGCGAGACCGCAAGGUUUAGCCAAUCCCACAAAUCUGUUCUCAGUUCGGAUCGCAGUCUGCAACUCGACUGCGUGAAGCUGGAAUCGCUAGUAAUCGCGGAUCAGCAUGCCGCGGUGAAUACGUUCCCGGGCCUUGUACACACCGCCCGUCACACCACGAGAGUUUGCAACACCCGAAGUCGGUGAGGUAACCUUUAUGGAGCCAGCCGCCGAAGGUGGGGCAGAUGAUUGGGGUGAAGUCGUAACAAGGUAGCCGUUCGAAUGU